rnacentral:rRNA from 1 species
ACGACCAUAUCCAUUCGAAAAUACGGGAUCCCGUCCGCUCUCCCAGAGUCAAGCGAAUGAGAGGCAGAUUAGUAGUCAGGUGGGUGACCACUGGCGAACACCGGCUGUUGUAUGUC